CUCUAAAUCAAAAUCACUAUACACUAAAACAUUCAAGCGUUUAGGGUUUAGGGUUUUAGUGUUUUUUAUUUAGAGUUUAGGAUUUAUCCAAGGGUUUAGGGUUUACCCAAGGGUUUAGGGUUUACCCAAGGGUUUAGUGUUUAUCCACGGGUUUAGGGUUUAGGAUUUAGGGUUUAGCGAUUAGGAUUUAGGGUUUAGUGUUUUGUUGAGAACAUUAAAAAUAUUUUUUUUUUAAAUUUUUUUUCUGUAACUAUUAUUUUUUUUACUUUUUUAUUUUAAAAACAUAAUAUAAUUUGAGAAUAUUUUGUUUCAUUUUUUAAAAGAUAUCAAAUUUAAAAUAAUGAAAUCCUAUUGGUUGGUGAACCUAGAGGUUCACCCUAGGGGGUGAACCCAAGAAUGACUCAUAAAUUGGUAAAUUUUUAGAAGUGAUAAAUAAAUAAAAAGCAUAAAUGAGUUUUUUUCAUUAAAAUCUAUGAAAACUUUUAAAACAGUAUGAGAUAUUCUUUUAACAGAUAAAUC
rnacentral:lncRNA from 1 species